rnacentral:rRNA from 1 species
GACGAACGCUGGCGGCGUGCUUAACACAUGCAAGUCGUACGGUAAGGCCCUUUCGGGGGUACACGAGUGGCGAACGGGUGAGUAACACGUGAGUAACCUGCCCACAACUUUGGGAUAACGCUAGGAAACUGGUGCUAAUACCGGAUAUGUGCUCCUGCUGCAUGGUGGGGGUUGGAAAGCUCCGGCGGUUGUGGAUGGACUCGCGGCCUAUCAGCUUGUUGGUGGGGUAGUGGCCUACCAAGGCGGCGACGGGUAGCCGGCCUGAGAGGGUGACCGGCCACAUUGGGACUGAGAUACGGCCCAGACUCCUACGGGAGGCAGCAGUGGGGAAUAUUGCACAAUGGGCGCAAGCCUGAUGCAGCAACGCCGCGUGCGGGAUGACGGCCUUCGGGUUGUAAACCGCUUUCAGCAGGGACGAAGCUUUUUGUGACGGUACCUGCAGAAGAAGCACCGGCUAACUACGUG